rnacentral:lncRNA from 1 species
UGUGGUUUCGCCUUGUUAUACAAAGUCCUCCCUGUAAAAGGUCUUCUCUGGAUGGCAGCAUGUGUUGCUCUAACACCUGUUUAUAUCGUUCAGCAUUCAUAGUAUUUUUCUAGAUGUGUAGCUACCCAUGCUACUCAGGAUGCAAGCUUUUAAGCUGAUAACAGUAGUAAUUGAUCGUUUAUUAUUAUUAUUAUUAUUAUUAUUAUUAUUAUUAUUUUAUGGAUGAUUAAUAGGGCCACUGAAAUAAAAAGGUUGGACAUUUCUUGGAAAUCUAGGAUUUUAGUUAAAAUUCUAACAUUGACAGCAUUGUACACAUAUUUACAGUAUUGUGACUUGUUGACGAAUUUGGACUUUUUUAAAUUAAGAAAUUUAAGCCAGAAUUAUGACUUUUUAUGCAAAAUUCAGAAGUAGUGUAAAUAAAGUUUCUGAAGUCAAAACUCUAAAUAUAUUCAGAUUUGUAAUGUUGUGUUAAGUGGCCCUAAUCCUACACCCUGAGGAGGAAUCCUAGAAUUGACAUUUUUCUUCUUGAGAGAGGAUCAUUACAUUGAAGUAUUUGUGCACCUGCGGAAGCAUUAAACAUCUGUUCUCCCAGCUGACACCCUCCCAAAAACUUCUUCAACUUGAGAAACAAACAAGGAAAUCUUUUCUUAUGACCUCUGGGGUGAAAUGUUACAUCACAGUAUCUGUGUAGAUUUCCAAUUAGGCCACACCAGCCUGCUUUCAGUCUGCUGCAUGUGAUUCCCUGCCAGUUGUAACAGCGGCUUAUUUGUCUGGAUCUGUGCUUGGAGGAGGACCAGAUGUUGUACUCUGAGGCCACAUGAGGGAAGUCAGAGGGUCUGUGUAUGAGCGGCGGGUCAACGAUGGACAGGAUGUUGAUAAACUAACAAACCAGGAAACCUUGACUCCAUAAGAAAAAAAAGGAAAUUCACUCUUUCACUCCUCCCGGCUGUCCUCAUCUCCCCCUCUAAGCCUGUCCUCUUGUGUCUUUCUCUUCACAUUCUGAAUCCCCUCACCUACUUUCUCUCACCUUUCUCUCUCCCUCUCUGUCUGUCUCUUCCUCUCCCACAGCAGUGAAGCCAUGAGGUGUGCAGAUGUGGCGCUUAAUUAGAGUUUCCUUAUCUGCAGGCGGCUCACCUACAGCCCAGCAGAGCCAGGUCUGCAAACAGGAGCAUGCAGCAACAACAACAAUGACGACAAUGCCGGGCUUGUUAUUUCUUCUUUUUCUUAUCAGGUCAUUGAUAGGGAACUUCACAGAGCAGACAGACAAACAGAGAAAGAGUGAGAGAGAAAAGAAAGGGGGGAGGAGGGGGAGGAAAGUGAGCAGAAUGUCUCGACACAGACCUCUGACGGCCCUUUCGUUGUGCCCAAUAAAAGCAGUGAUAUAUGUUCAUGUGUCGUCCAUGUGUGAUGAAGCCAAACUCACACCGUGUCUAGGGGGUUCAUCAGUCAGACAAGUCACUCUCACAGAGGAAGAGACAGGAGGAAGAUCCAGACCUGGUGAUGAAUCAGGGUCUGACCAAGAAGUGGUUCUUGAAAGUGGGUGUUUUAUAUGACUCCAAUUUAAGAGACCAGUUCAGACAUGAGCUGCAGCCCAGAAAGUGUGAGAAAUGUUUUUUCUUGAUCAGUGAAACACUGAAUUAUUGCUUUCAGGCUCUGAGUAAUAUCUAUAAAAACCUCAAUAACUGAUGCAAAAAGAGGUCAGGGCUGCUGUCAGACUAACUUGACCUCUUCUCAUUGAUGCUGCUGUCUCAGUGUAAGACCUCGAACCUCAUCACAAAAGUUCCUCUUUGUUUAAAGCCACCAGAGUCAGUAAAUUAAUUAUAUUUCUGUCGUCGUUACAACAUCUCUCUGCUAUAUGAUACAGUUCUCUUGAGAGCAGGGGUCAAACAGUGAUCUCUGUCUCAGGUUUGAGAAAGCUGCAACAUCAGCGUGGGCUAGUUCACUUGAAAUAUUGACUGAGCGCAAAAAGUUCAUUUUAAAGCUUCAACACACAGCGCCAACAGGAAAAGACAAUAUAAGUCACAGGUCAAAAUGCCCCAACAGAAACACUUUUGGAGUCUUCCCACCAAAACUCAGCUUUUAGCCCCAUUUUAUUCUCAUUUCUACCUGUUUUAUUCUGAUAAGAUAUUUUACUUUCUGAUGAAUUUAUAUUUAAACAGUUUCAAGCGACGUUUUGAGCCCAUAACAUAUGUAAUUCUGCCUUUGUUUUAUUUCUGCUUUCUUCAGUUUGAUAGAUGUCUGGGUCAUUUUGUCUCUUUCCCUCCUUAUUUCUGUGCUGUGCUUGAGUCUUGGGUUCUGCAAAUAAACCGACAGAGGUGAGCACAAAAAUAAACACUGUAACUGCUUAUAUGUUAACAAAGACAGUUAAUUCCUUAAUUUAGUUCAAAUUUAACAGAUAAACAGUACCCUACCACUGACAUAAAUUUACUUAUAUAGCGCCAUUUUACAACAAGUGUUAAUCCAAGAAACUGAAAAAGUUGAUCUAGAUCAUAUUCUAUAAACAUAGACCCUUAAGAUAUGAUAAAGCUGCGCCACCAUAUUCAUAAAGAUCCACAGAUUACUUUAAAGACUCACUCCAAUGAAAAUCCUGUUUUACUUGUUGUCUACAUGAUCAUAUGACAUUUUUCUGAUGCUAGAGGAGAUAGCAUGAGAAAACUAGGCGCAAAAUUGCAUCUCUGAGUAUUUCUGCAUUCAAAUUGCUGUGAACCUCUUGCAGACCCAAACGGCCUGUUCAGACCAUAGACUGUCUAUGGUUCAGACGCAGUAGAAAUUUCUACAUCACAAAUCCAAGCUCAGCCCCUGGCACCCCCUCUGCAGCCAGAGCCCAAGAAGUAAAGAGGGCAAGUGCAGAACAAGUGUGUGUUACCGGAUUGCAAUGCUUGUAAGAAAGCUAAUAAUGCUAUUAGCUUUCACCAUUUCCCUAAAGACAUAAGUGUCCGAGAGCUGAAUAGCUUCUAUAUUACCUACCACUUCCGCUGCACCGGCAAUAUUAGGCUGCAAGCUAGUGUGAAGAGUAGUGUGCAGAGCAGCGCUGUCUCCACCCACGACUAAUAAUAAUAAUCAGAAUGGGACUUUAAGCCUAUAAAGUCUGCAUGCUCUUGCUCAAGAUGUCUGUGAUCCAUCUUAUCAUGUAAGAACACGGUAUGGAUCUAUCUCCCUCAGGUAAGACACCUUUGCUGGCCUAAAUGCAACAACUGUUGGAAAUUCAGGCUCUUUUCAGUGAUCCAGAUCAUUCAUUCAUGAACCGGUGCUUUGUAGUUCUUUGGAUGUUGUUUGGAUUAAAUCUUUAACAGGACUCGGACUAUUAAGACCCUCUUUGUUACAGCAGAAAGAGAGUUGGACGAUUGCAUUUUCAACAGGUUAUAUGAAUGUUGAUUUCUGAAUCAUUAACUUAAAUGCUGUUUUUUAUAAAUGCCAGAUCUAUGUAUGUCACCUUUGUGAACCUGUAAACCUCUUUUACUCUUUGUACAGACUGAUAUCCUGUGUGUUGUUUUUUUUGCAAAUACCUGAAAGACUUGUGGACAACAUUUCAAAAGAAUCUAUAAAUUCAGAUUAGAGAAGGACUUUAUCUCAGGAUAUCAAACAUGAUUCAUCCACACUCACCACUCCCAGUUUACAGGCAGGAUCUGAAUAGAGUCUUUUUCAUUUGAAUCUAUCAAUAUUUAUUAAUGACACUAUUAUUCAAGGGGUCCAGGUCCAGACUAUUUCCCUUCUUGUCAUGCUGACAUUCAGUGGAGACUUCUGUGCUGUUUCAUAUUAAAUUUUCACAGAUUUGACCAAUGGUGUCCCAUUAGCACAUGCUGGGAUUCUGUAUUAAUAUUCAAAGACGACACUGAUCCUUUUUAGAAUCUGAAGUCUUGGCAUUUAAACCUCAGAGAGCGUGCUGACAUGGAGGAAGACGAAGAGAGAACGUAGACAGUAAUGAGGCAGACUACAGUCUAUAUUAUUGCAAAUUAUCUCUGUGCCCCCAAACCUGAUUUUACAUGCAACUCCUGCCCUAUGGAUCCUUUCACUCAGCGGAGACAAGAACUCUGCUGCUCUCACAAAUGGUUCGUGCAAAAUGGAUUCAGCUGUUUGGGAGUUUUAGGUCUCACUGCAGCAAAACUUUGCAGAACAAAGGGCCAAAGUUUGUAGUUAUAUUGUUCCUAACUGUCCAAUGACUCUGUGAUACAAUAGCCUUUUAUGUUAUAUACAGUACAGGCCAAAAGUUUGGACACACCUUCUCACUAUUUACAUUGUGGAUUAUCACUGAAGGCAUGAAAACUAUGAAUGAACACAUGUGGAAUUUUGUUCUUAUAAAAGUGUGAAAUAACUGAAAACAUGUUUUAUAUUCUAGUUUCUUUAAAGUAGCCACCCUUUGCUCUUGAUGACAGAAGUAAAGUCCUGAAGUAACCCUGACAAGGCACACCUGUGAAGUAAAAACCAUUUCAUGACUACCUCAUGAAGCUCAUUGAGAGAACAGCAAAAGUUUGCAGCGCUAUAAAAAACGCAAAGGGUGGCUACUUUGAGGAAUCUACAAUAUAAAACAUGUUUUCAAGCUAUUUCACACUUUUUUCUUACGCACAUGAUUCCACAUGUGUUCAUUCAUAGUUUUGAUGCCCUCACUGAGAAUCUACAAUUUAAAUAGUAAUGAGAAUAAAGAAAAUGCAUUGAAUGAGAAGGUGGGUCCAAACUUUUGGCCUGUACUGUAUAGGAGCUGGCUUGUUUUCUCAGCGUUAGUUUUUGUUUCCCUGACUUUUCCUCGUCAGUUUGGGCUCUGAAAACUUGGUGCCACUCCUGGUUCUCCUGUCCCACCAUGUGUUCAGAUGAGGAUAGGCAGGGGAAGGGAAUGAAAUUAUUCCUGAUAGAAGAACUACUGUCAGUGAUUGAGGUCUAACCUCGACUUUGCAAGACUAAAAGAGACAUGUAUUCAAAAAAGAGAGGCACCAAUACUUUCUAACUUCUCUAAGCCUCUUAAAGUCCAUCAGAUUAACAAAUCUGAGCCAGACAAAUCCUGCUGUGGUUAAAACACUGACAACUAUCCCCUUCUAACAUUGUAAUGAUGUAUUUGACAUAAAGGUCAGCCUCAAAGCAAGCUUAAAAGUAAAGUGAAACUAUGAUUUUGCAGGAUGCAGCGAUGCAAUAAUGCGUGGAUCAAACUUAUUUUGCAGCACUUUGUGAAACAGUCCCCACAUUAUUAUCUGUAGUUUAGUAAGUUUGCACAUAUCCCCUGUCUUUGUGCCAACCAGCAUAAAUUACAAACUCUUAUAAUUAAUUUUGACACAUAUUUUGCUAAAGCGUUUCUAAAACUGGAUAAUGUACAAAAGCUUUUUCUUUGAGGCUCAAACUUUUUAACUGAAACAAUCAUCUUUGACUUUGAUUUUAACAAGGUCGAAAAAUGAUGUUCUUGAAUGCAUCCUCCACAUGGAAUAACUUUGUUUGUUUCAUGAAGAAAAUCCCUCAUAUAAUUGUCAUUUUGUCACCAAUGAGCAGAAACCAUGUAUCUUUAAAACCACUGUUCUUCCAGGAAGGAAAAAAAUAAAAAAAUAAAAAAAACUUUGUUUUUUUUACUUAACUACAUGCUGCAUGAGAUUCAACCACAAGCUUCAUUUGUUAGAUUGUUUGAAAGCUUAAUGAUAGACAUAGAGGGAGGUCAACAACAUUGAUUAAUGUUAAAAAGAAAAAAAUAGAAAAGAAAAAUAUAGAGGUUUCUGCCAGACAUCUUUGUUCUGUAAUGUCUCAAGUGAUGUUGCUUUCAGUUUUUGAGUGCAGUGAGAUUUUUGUGUCUGAUACUACCUCUUGUGAACUGAUCCUGAAGAAUGUACUCUGCAUAUUUCUGGAUAGUUCUCGGUCAUUUCGGAGGGGUGACUGUCAGGAAACAGUCGAGUUAUUGCCUCUUGUGUAAUCUUGGUUUGCUCAUCAGUCUGUAUCUGUAACUGUUCAUCAUAAAUUAAAGAAAAAAAUCAGUCAUCAGUUUCAUUGGGAUCUAAAUUUUUGAACAAUAGGCUGAUUGACCCGUUUAUUGUGUAGUUGGGAGAUGACUCACUUUACCACUGAGCUCCCUCCUGAAAUUAGACACAUCUGUGUUAAAUUCAUGCUGACUAACACGGAGAAAAAGGGAAGCUCAUGCCCAUAUACAUAAGCCUUUAACUCAUGAUUCUGCAACAAACUUGUUGGCAUAUCCCUUUAAUGUUAAGCUGACAAAGUUUGGUGGUUUCCUUUUCCUUUUUAAUGAGUAGGUGGAUAAAUUUAUGAAUGAAAUGAAGGAGCAAAAACGAUUGCACGGUGUCAGAAAUAUUAACCUGUGUGCAGAUUAGUUGACUCAAUUUAUUGCUUUGAUUUUUCUUUUUUUCUAUUCUUUCGUUUUGUUUUAUUUUGUCUUUUUCCUUUCCCGUUUUUUUUUUCAAUGUUUGUUUCUUUUUUAUUUUAUUUUAUUUUUUGUUCUUUUUUUAUGUUUUUUUUUUUUUUUUAGGUUUGUUGAAGUAUUUGUGAUGUUUUCUUUCUUUCUUUCUUUCUUUCUUGUUCCUCAUUUUGUUGCUCCAUAUAUUUAUUGUUUUGCUGCUUUUGUUUGCUCCGUAUAUGGUUUUAUUUCUGUUGAUGUUAUCCUUUUGUUUUUUUUCUCCUGUUACUAAAUUAGUCUGACUUGAUCAGAGUAAAAAAAGAUUGCAAUCAAUUUUGUCUGUCAUUUUUUAUUUUAUAUCCACUGAAAGCUCAAUUUGGUUAGUUAUUGUAUAUUUUUUUAUAUUUGAUUAACAAAGUUUCUUGCUAAUAUCCCCCUUUUCCUUUUUUGUUUAUUGUGUUUAAUUUUUUCUUUGUAAGAGCUACUAUAAAAACUGAGUUUUCUCCAGAGAUCAACACAGCACAUCUUUUGUCAUCUGUUUGCUUACUAUUAUUAUUAUUUAAUCUUUCAAGUUUUAAAUGUCUAAAGAUAACAAAGAGGCCUACAUGUGAUGAUAAUAUUAAAUGGUAUUUCCACAAGCCUACACUUUAAAACUGUACUCUGCUAAGUCUGCCACUAAACUGUUCACACACCUGUAAAUGAAGUUCAGAUAACUUUCUGAAGUAUGUAUCACUUUGUGUGGAUCCCUGCUGUCCCUGAAUCAGUUUGGGGAGGGGGGAUCUUCCUCCUCCUCCUCCUCCUCCUCUG